GCAGGGACUCGUCAAACUCCAGCGCUAACUUUACUUUCUUUCUCUCCCUUUCCUCCCCAUUUCGCCUCGAGUUUUGUCUCCGCUUCCGGCUCAUACAGUUUUUUUCUGGGCUUUAUGGUGGUGAGGUGCCCUUUCACUGCGAAAUGGCAGAACAACUUAAAAGUUCAUUUGAUGGUGACUAAAUGUCUUAGUGCCGCUAAAAGAUAGGAAAACUGAUGCUGUGAAAAUGAAGAUGACUUGUCCACCAUGUGAGAAGUCUUGCUCCAGAGCAGCCAUGACCCAGUCUUGCGUCUUACCACACUUAUCAGACACCCAAGCCCAGUCUCAGAUGGAUACACAUCCAGCCCAUUCAAAUCACCAAUG